CUUACAUGUUAGAGCAGUGAUGAGAGUGCAGAGGCUCCCCAGCAUGUUGUCAGUGUGUGAUGACAAUGUUGUUGUGUCUCUCAAAGUUUCCU